GUGGGUGAUACCUUCACUAUCCAAGCACCCCCGGGAAAGAAAUGUCUGAGCGCUUGCAUAAGGGCAACAAACAACCCACAUCUCCAGUGGGUUUCGAAGAGGAGAGCAGAGAAGGAAAGCAUGGAGUGUGAUUUCGUUUUUUUCUCCACAGUAAGUAUGUUCCUGAGUAAUACAGAUCCCUGCCUUGAUUUAACAGGGCUACACGACUCUAUUAAUGGGGGGGGAGGGGGAGGCACCAAGAACUAAAUUAAUUCCAGUUCCACUGGCUUUGAUUGGCGAGUUCACUGCAAACCUUAGUGAUCCAGUAUUUGUGGAAUGAUCAUAAAACUUCAAGGAGAGCUGAAGGGCUCAGGUCAUAACCAGUUAUAGUGCUGAUCUAUAGCUUUCCUGGAGAACUACAUAGCUGGGAGCAGGGCCCUGUGAUUUGUACCUGACCAAAGCUAUAUGUACAGGCCUAGUGUUGUCCAUGUACAUGGGUCAGACACUGGGUUAAAACAGUGCAAAACAAACCACAAAGAAAGGAAACCCUAAAAUCCACCUCAAUCCAAACAAAGCCUCUCCUGUAUAUUUGCUAAGAGAUUGCCACAUCCCUCUCCGACCAAACUCAUAUUGACUUCAAAGCCUUUGGGUUGUAUUCUGCCAUUACACCAGUGUCAAACCAGAGUAACUCUGCUGCCUUCCAUGGGUGUUGUGCCUGAAUGAAAAUCGCCGGGGUCAGAUCCAGACAAGAUCUGUUGCUAGGUGUAUUUAUGGGGUAGGUGUGGUUGGGGGCCUCAGAUGAAUUAGUAGUUGCAAAUGCAUGGAAAAAAUCAAACAGGCAGUGUAGUGAGUCGGUGUGGCUCCCCUUCUGCCCAGAAGAGGGAGCCCCCGUGCAGGCACCAGAGUGGGUGGAGCCACCGCCGCCUGUCCCCGCCCCCCGGAAGUCAAGGGGCGGGACAGGAAGUAUAAAGGCCGGCCGCCAGAGCUCAGUCAGCUGCCAGCCACCACAGGGAGCAGAUGUGUGGCUGGGAGCUCCUGGCCAGGAGACCUCCGAGGCCAGGGCCCAACUGGCCAGAGCUACCCUGGGCCCGCUACGAGGAGGAGCCACCGGAGCCCGUCCGCUCCCGUUGCUGGGAGGAACCCUGGGAACCCCCCCACACUAACCCUGAAGGCGAGACCGCACCAGAACCCCUCUGCCCCUGCUGCUACCUGGAGGAGCCGCCCGAGUGCAACUGGCCUGAUUUCCCGAUGGAGCUGCCGGACCUGCCACCAAGCCCUGGCCGAGAGGAGCCCAUGCAGCUGGACUGGGUCCGAGCCUGGUGUGAUGAACGAGAUCAAAGCGACGGUAGGUGCUUGGGACCACAAUCCUCUGGCUAAUGGCAAGCUUUUGGAGAGGAGCUCCAAGGAGUCCCUUCAUGUUCUUUCGGGAUCACGGGAAAGCAGAACAGAUGGGACACUCAGGAGAUGUUGUUUCUUUUCUUUCUUUCUUUCUUCUUUUUACAUGUGAGGAAGCUGUUGGAGAAAAUCCCUAACCCUUCUACCACCAGGAUGGAUAGAUACCUGCAGACGCUCACUUCUUCUGAAAUUGCUCACUGCUGUAAACUCUGAGAAUGUGCCUGUGUAACUCCGACGGACCUGCCCCACUCCGCCAUUACAUGGGAGAGAACACCACACCCAGAAGAUGUGUGGGUUAUACAUAUUUCAGUGAAUCAAUGAGGACAGAAGCGACUUUGUCUGUACAAAGUGCAAGCUGGUCUC